CUAAGUGGUGAAUAGAAGGGCUAUACUUAACAACCUAAUUGGAAUUAAAACUACCACUGCAAUAAUAGAACAGAACAGGAAAAUUAGAUGUGGAGUAUUA